AUUGAACGCUGGCGGCAGGCCUAACACAUGCAAGUCGAACGCGUGGCGGACGGGUGAGUAAUGUCUGGGAAACUGCCUGAUGGAGGUGGAUAACUACUGGAAACGGUAGCUAAUACCGCAUACCAUCGGAUGUGCCCAGAUGGGUUUAGCUAGUAGGUGGGGUAAAGGCUCACCUAGGCGACGAUCCCUAGCUGGUCUGAGAGGAUGCCCAGCAAGACUGGAACUGAGACACGGUCCAGACUCCUCAGGGAGGGAGCAGUGGGGAAUAUUGCACAAUGGGCGCAAGCCUGAUGCAGCCAUGCCGCGUGUAUGAAGAUGGCCUUCGGGUUGUAAAGUACUUUCAGCGGGGAGGCGUUACCCGAAGAAGAAGCACCGGCUAACACCGUGCCAGCAGACGCGAUAAUAC
rnacentral:rRNA from 1 species